rnacentral:lncRNA from 1 species
AUGUCUGGCUGGCUGGGUGCUGAUGCUGAGAGCAUUUUGGGAGCACUGCUGAGCUCCCACAGAGCCAGAGUGGCUGGUGAUAGAACUCGAUGUGUUUGUGUUUUAUGUCAGUUUUAUGCUACUUUUUUUUUUUUUAAAGGUGAAACUGUCUGGGCAGCUCCAGCAAAGCCAGUGACACUGGAGGCUCUGGAAAUGGAUGGAGAUCUUCGUGUCACCGCAGGAAUGGGAUUUGCUUGUAAAGAGCAUCUUCGAGAUGAAACCUGGUCCAUGCUUGAAGACCACUCUUUGCUGGAGAAAUGCACAACACAAACAAAGUGUGCAGCUCCCAGGACAGCCCAAAAGUUGGCCAGGAGAAGGAGAAGAGACAGAGAAGGAAGAGAGGAGGUGCUUAGAGCACAUGCCUUGGGGAUGGCUCCCGUGCCAGGGCAGGGGCAGUGCACAGCAGCUGUUUGUGUGAUCCACACAAUGCCAGUGACUCAGUGGCUGAAUCAGAUGAGGAAUGUCCUGGUUCCAUCCCCCAGGAAGGUGCACUGGGGUGAUGCCAGAAGGGCCCAGCCUGUGCCAUUCCCACAGUGUCAGCAGCUCAGGGUGGGAGUUGAUGUGUGGUGGGUGACUGAUCUGAGACUCUCUCAUCUCAGGGAGAAGAGCAGCAGCACCCACGCUCUGCUUCCAGCCAGCUGAACAGCCUCCUGCCCCUUUUAGCUCUCCCAGCCUCAUAACACUUUGGUCCCCUUGUCACCUGCACCCAGAUUCUCACCUGCCAGGUGCCACAGGGCUCUGCCAGAGUAGAUCCACCAGCCUGAGCACGUUGGAUUCAUGUGGGACACAGGGGCUUUCCUGAGAAAUCUGCCUUGGUGGCUCUACUGUGCCCUAACUGGGUGGCUUUGCUGUGGGUUCCUACUCUGCCCAGCUCUGAGAGUCCCUCUUCACCUUUGCUUAUCCCUCAGUUUCUGUAAAAACCCACCAGCUCCAUCACACACAGUCCUGCUUCCCCAUGGAGCAGGACCUGCCUGUGUUCUGGCCUGCUGGUUGGGCACAUUGUGUGCCAAAUCUCUUCCAGCUCAUGGGGAAUUUCAUAAACUUGUUCAGUUCUAGCAGGUCCUGUGAGUGCCUGAUCCAGCAGGGCUCCCUAAACCUCAGGGGGAAAAAACAUCUUCACAGUGAACUGUCUGAAUAGGGAUGGACUAGAAAUUCAACCUUUGUGAUUCAGAGCCUCUGUGAUCCAGGAUGGAGCAGAUGCUCUCAGUCUCUUGCACCUUCUCCUCAUCUUUUGACCCUUUGUGCUCCUUCUGUUUAACAAUUGAAAAACCCUUCCUGCAUCUCUCUCUGCUGAAUAUCUUGGUAUCACUUUUGUUUUCCAACCUCCCCUUUCCCAAUAAAAACAGUCCUGAAGGAAAAAUAAUGUAGAGA